GACGAACGCUGGCGGCGUGCUUAACACAUGCAAGUCGAACGGAAAGGCCCUGCUUUUGUGGGGUGCUCGAGUGGCGAACGGGUGAGUAACACGUGAGUAACCUGCCCUUGACUUUGGGAUAACUUCAGGAAACUGGGGCUAAUACCGGAUAGGAGCUCCUGCUGCAUGGUGGGGGUUGGAAAGUUUCGGCGGUUGGGGAUGGACUCGCGGCUUAUCAGCUUGUUGGUGGGGUAGUGGCUUACCAAGGCUUUGACGGGUAGCCGGCCUGAGAGGGUGACCGGCGACCUGGGGCCUGCGAUACGGCGCAGUCUCCUACGGUAGGCAGCAGUCGGGAAUAUUGCACAAUGGGCGGGAGCCUGAUGCAGCAGCGCCGCGUGCGGAAUGACGGGCUUCGGGUUGUGAACCACUUUCGCCUGUGACGAAGCGUGAGUGACGGUAAUGGGUAAGAAAGCACCGGCUAACUACGUG
rnacentral:rRNA from 1 species